rnacentral:rRNA from 10 species
GUCUGCAAACAUACCACCCCAAACGCGCUUGAUCUUGUCUGACCUCAGAAGCUAAGCAGGGUCGGGCCCGGCUAGUACUGGAUGGGAGAUGAGUGAUAAGAUAGUCCUAACAAUUUAGGGGCUGGGUGCAGUGG